rnacentral:tRNA from 1 species
UCUUCCGUAGUAUAGUGGUCAGUAUAUGAGCUUGUCAUCCAUCUGGAUUUCGCUCGGGACCCGGGUUCAAUUCCCGGCGGGAGAG